rnacentral:rRNA from 1 species
UUCUUAACACCGAGACGUGAUGACGAGUGUCUACGGACAUGAAGUGACCAAUACCACGCUUCCAGGAAAAGCCACUAAGCUUCAGUUGAAUCAGAACCGUACCGCAAACCGACACAGGUGGGCAGGAUGAGAAUUCUAAGGCGCUUGAGAGAACUCGGGAGAAGGAACUCGGCAAAUUGAUACCGUAACUUCGGGAGAAGGUAUGCCCUCUAAUGUUAAGGACUUGCUCCGUAAGCAUCUGAGGGUCGCAGAGAAUCGGUGGCUGCGACUGUUUAUUAAAAACACAGCACUCUGCUAACACGAAAGUGGACGUAUAGGGUGUGACGCCUGCCCGGUGCUGGAAGGUUAAUUGAAGAUGUGCAAGCAUCGGAUCGAAGCCCCAGUAAACGGCGGCCGUAACUAUAACGGUCCUAAGGUAGCGAAAUUCCUUGUCGGGUAAGUUCCGACCCGCACGAAUGGCGUAACGAUGGCCACACUGUCUCCUCCCGAGACUCAGCGAAGUUGAAAUGGUUGUGAAGAUGCAAUCUCCCCGCUGCUAGACGGAAAGACCCCGUGAACCUUUACUGUAGCUUUGCAUUGGACUUUGAAGUCACUUGUGUAGGAUAGGUGGGAGGCUUUGAAGCAGAGACGCCAGUCUCUGUGGAGCCGUCCUUGAAAUACCACCCUGGUGACUUUGAGGUUCUAACCCAGACCCGUUAUCCGGGUCGGGGACCGUGCAUGGUAGGCAGUUUGACUGGGGCGGUCUCCUCCCAAAGAGUAACGGAGGAGUUCGAAGGUUACCUAGGUCCGGUCGGAAAUCGGACUGAUAGUGCAAUGGCAAAAGGUAGCUUAACUGCGAGACCGACAAGUCGAGCAGGUGCGAAAGCAGGACAUAGUGAUCCGGUGGUUCUGAAUGGAAGGGCCAUCGCUCAACGGAUAAAAGGUACUCCGGGGAUAACAGGCUGAUUCCGCCCAAGAGUCCAUAUCGACGGCGGAGUUUGGCACCUCGAUGUCGGCUCAUCACAUCCUGGGGCUGUAGUCGGUCCCAAGGGUAUGGCUGUUCGCCAUUUAAAGUGGUACGUGAGCUGGGUUUAAAACGUCGUGAGACAGUUUGGUCCCUAUCUGCAGUGGGCGUUGGAAGUUUGACGGGGGCUGCUCCUAGUACGAGAGGACCGGAGUGGACGAACCUCUGGUGUACCGGUUGUUUCGCCAGAAGCAUAGCCGGGUAGCUAAGUUCGGAAGAGAUAAGCGCUGAAAGCAUCUAAGCGCGAAACUCGCCCAAAGAUGAGACUUCCCUUGUGGUUUAACCAUACUAAAGAGUCGUUCGAGACCAGGACGUUGAUAGGUUGGGUGUGGAAGAGUGGUAACACUUGAAGCUAACCAAUACUAAUUGCUCGUGAGGCUUGACUCU